AAAGGAGAAAAUUGAUACCAAAGAACAUCCAUUCCUGGUUCUUGGCAGAAUUCCCACCACCUUUGGUAGAAGUUGCAUUUCGGAAUGAAGGGUACCAGGCUGAUGGGGGUGCUGCUCACCCUGACUGGUGUGCUGCAUGUGGUCCUGCCCCUGAGAAUAGCAGCUUUCAACAUCCAGACUUUCGGGGAGACCAAGAUGUCCAAUGCCACCCUCUCCAACUACAUCGUGCAGAUCCUGAGUCGCUAUGACAUUGCCGUGGUCCAGGAGGUCAGAGACAGCCACCUGACGGCCGUGGGGAAGCUGGUGGACAGACUCAAUCAGGAUGACCCCAACACCUAUCACUACAUAGUCAGCGAGCCACUGGGUCGCAGCAGCUAUAAGGAGCGCUACCUCUUUGUGUUCAGGCCGGACCAGGUGUCGGUGCUGGACAGCUACCUGUAUGACGAUGGCUGCGAGCCCUGUGGAAAUGAUACCUUCAGCCGAGAGCCAGCUGUUGUCAAGUUCUCCUCCCCAUUCACCCAGGUCAAGGAGUUUGCCAUCGUCCCCCUGCACGCGGCCCCACUGGAUGCAGUGGCUGAAAUCGACUCUCUAUACGAAGUCUACCUGGACGUCCGGCAGAAGUGGGACAUGGAGGACAUUAUGUUGAUGGGUGACUUCAACGCUGGCUGCAGCUACGUGACCCCUUCGCAUUGGUCAUCCAUCCGCCUGCGCACAAUCCCCACCUUCCAGUGGCUGAUUCCUGACACCGCUGACACUACGGUUACGUCCACGCACUGCGCCUACGACAGGAUCGUGGUCGCCGGAACUCUGCUCCAAAAUGCCAUUGUUCCCGACUCAGCUGGCACCUUUGACUUCCAAGCUGCAUAUGGACUGAGCAACCAGACUGCCCAAGCCAUCAGUGACCACUACCCGGUGGAGGUGACGCUGAAGAGAGCCUGACAAGAGCAGGCCCGGGGCCCCGGCUGGACACCUCUAGCUUCUCUAGCUUGCCUGUGGCUGCUCCUGGGGACCUGCACAAAGAACUGAAGAAGACAGCUGAUCCUGUUGUCACCUUCAGGGACCGAGGUCUCUCACACCGAGUGAAGAAAGUAAGACUUCACAUCACAGGCAAGACAGUCUGUUAAGGAUGCACAGAGAGACCAUAAAGCAAAGCAAUUACCACAAAAGUCAGGACUAUGGUUACCUCAGAGGGACACUUCUAACGGCAUCCGAGGGCCAGCAAGGUUGUUGCUUUUUUACUUUACAUGGGUACAGUUUAAAGUUAAAUUGAAUAGUUUAAUUACACAGGUACUGGAUUUAUAAGCUUUAUGCAUUUUUCCUAUGUGUUAGGAAUAAGAACAAUUUUAAAGGAGUAGCUGGCAGGUCAGAUACAAGCUUGCUGUUCCUGGGCAUCGAGGGCA